AGCUUUGCACAGUGGCAGUAUCGUAGCCAAUGAGGUUUAUCCGAGGCAGGAUUAUUGCUAAUUAAAAAAAGCUGCCCACAACAGAGUCAUUUUUAGGUAAAAUGGCGGAGAUCUGUAGAUGUUCACCCAACC
rfam:Mustela putorius furo unplaced genomic scaffold scaffold00025, whole genome shotgun sequence.